GUACUGUAAAGGAAUCAAAAAUAGAAUACAAGAAUUUAUAAAAAUUAGUACCUUUUGUAUCAGGUUUAAUCAAUAUUAUUAAAAUUAUUUAAUUUCGAAAUUAUUUGAUUUAGAUAAUUAUAAAUUAUUUUGUUUCAAAAAAGUGAUAUAUAAUUUUCUAGUGGUGAAAAUUCUUGCGAAAAUAAUGAUAUCUAAUUAAAAAUGAAAUAAUAAAAUUUAUUCUUUAUAAAAGAUAAGUUCAGUUGGGUCAGCUAAUUGAAUUAAAAUAAAAGUGAGUAAGGUACAAAAAACUAAGCCUUAAAUUAGCUACGUUUAUAAAUUGUGUUAAAUAAUUGGUUAUUAGGACGGUAUAAUUUAUAAUUAAUUUUUAUUUUUUAAAGUAAAUUAAAAAUAAAAAAAUGAUUAAAUUAGUAUUUUUGUUUGUUAAAAUGAAUGAACUCAAUUAUAUUUUGACUGUUUAACAAAAACAUUUCUUUCUGAAAUUUGGAAAGUAAGACCUGCCCAGUGGAGACUAAACGGCUGCGGUAUUUUGACCGUGCUAAGGUAGCAUAAUAAAUUGUUCUUUAAUUGGGAACUGGUAUGAAAGGUUCUACAAUCUAUAACUUUAUAAAUUUUAAUUUACGAAUUUUUAUUACAAGUAAAAAUACUUGUAUAUUAUAAAGGGACGAUAAGACCCUAGAAGCUUUAGUUUUUAAAAAAUAAGAAGCAAUUAUAUUUAUAGUUCUUAUAUAAAAAAACUUUGAUUGGGGAAAUAGAAAUUUUAAAAAUAAUUUUAUUUAUAAUAAAUUUAUUAUUUUAUGAUCUUUUAAAUAAAAAAGGAAUGAAUUAGUUACUCUAGGGAUAACAGCGUAAUAAUUUUGGAUAGCCCACAUAUAUAAAAUUGAUUACGACCUCGAUGUUGAAUUAGAAUAUCUUUAUAAAGUAGAAAUUAUAAGAGAAAGUUUGUUCAACUUUUAAUUUUUUACAUGAUUUGAGUUCAGACCGGUUUAAGCCAGGUCGGUUUCUAUCUUUUAUAAAUAAAAAAUUUUUUUAGUACGAAAGGAUUGAAUAAUUUUAAUAAUU
rnacentral:rRNA from 1 species